AUUGAACGCUGGCGGCAUGCUUUACACAUGCAAGUCGAACGGGGUGGGGGGCAACCUUCAUUCAGUGGCGAACGGGUGAGUAAUGCAUCGGAACGUACCCCGGAGUGGGGGAUAACGCCGCGAAAGCGGCGCUAAUACCGCAUAUGCUCUGAGGAGGAAAGUGGGGGACCGCAAGGCCUCACGCUCUGGGAGCGGCCGAUGUCCGAUUAGCUAGUUGGUGGGGUAAUGGCCCACCAAGGCGACGAUCGGUAGCUGGUCUGAGAGGAUGAUCAGGCACACUGGGACUGAGACACGGCCCAGACUCCUACGGGAGGCAGCAGUGGGGAAUUUUGGACAAUGGGGGCAACCCUGAUCCAGCCAUGCCGCGUGCGGGAAGAAGGCCUUCGGGUUGUAAACCGCUUUUAGUCGGGAAGAAAAGGCAUCUCCUAAUACGGGGUGUUCUUGACGGUACCGGCGGAAUAAGCACCGGCUAACUACGUGCCAGCAGCCGCAGUAAAAC
rnacentral:rRNA from 1 species